rnacentral:lncRNA from 1 species
CCAACGUAUCAGAUCAUCUUGUAAACGAGCCCUGAUUUUGAAUUCAGGGAUAGCAAAUAACUGAGCAAAACAACAUGACUUUAUUCUUUUUGUUACAUUGUCGGGGAACUGUAUAAAUCCGGUGAGCGCAGCUUCAUUAUAAGUGGGUAUUCCAGAUCGGUGACGAAUCAAGUGGUUGACUAUAUUUCGAAAAUUAAAAUGAAUUAGCAACUGAAAACCAAAAAUAUAUUAAUUUUAAAAUAAUUAAUGCUUAACUGUUGGUCUCUUCAGGCUCGAACUUGCCAGUCCUUACUUUCUUCUUCUUCCUCACUUCUGCUCUUUCAUCAGAAGAGGAAGGCAUUUUAUCAGAUACAGCAACCUUUCUAGCAGACACAGAGCAUUUCUUCUUCAUAGAUAAGGGUUCCUUUUCUCUGCUUGAGUCAUUUGUAAUCCUACCCUUCUUUUUACGUACUUAUUCUCUUUCAUCAGAAGACUGAGACAUUUUAUCACAAGAUGCAACUUUUUUAGCACAAGAUUUACUUGUAUUCAUUUUCUCAGAAACUUUCUUUUCAUUAGGGGACUCAGUUGUAUUUUUAGCAUGGUCUUCUUCUUCUUCCGCUUCAUCAAUGUUUUCAACUACCGUCACUUUCUUUUUCCUCACAGCCUUCGUCUUUCUUUUGCUCCUUGGUGGUGACCUCACGACAUCACGAUUACAUUUCUUUGCGUUUAAUCUCUUUCGAUCGUCCGUCAUCAACUUUCGUAGCGUAGAUUCGAAGUCCAUCUCCUUAUGUCUUCGUAGAUGUUUCUGAAAGUUUACCUAAAAAAAUAAAAAAUUUGAAUCAUAAUACUUAGCAACCACCAUACACAUAUUAUGAAAUAUGAAAUAGCUAUUUACUCCGCUUCCUCUUCGAAAAAAUGAACUGAUCC